rnacentral:lncRNA from 1 species
GGGGUAGAUGCUGAGUUCAGCUACAUGCUACUGUAGGUUACUCCCCCAUAUGGCUGAGUUCUGUUCAGCUACUUUAGGUUACUCUCCCAUACGGCUAAGUUCUGUUCAGCUGCUUUAGGUUACUCUCCCAUAUGGCUGAGUUGACUGUUCAGCUACUGUAGGUUAUUCUCCCAUAUGGCUGAGUUGACUUUUCAGCUACAUGCUACUGUAGGUUAUUCUCCCAUGCUACUGUAGGUUACUCUCCCAUGCUACUGUAGGUUACUCUCAUGCUACAGUAGGUUACUCUCCCAUGCUACAGUAGGUUACUCUCCCAUGCUACAGUAGGUUACUCUCUCCCAUGCUACUGUAGGUUACUCUCCCAUGCUACUGUAGGUUACUCUCUCAUGCUACUGUAGGUUACUCUCCCAUGCUACUGUAGGUUACUCUCCCAUGCUACAGUAGGUUACUCUCCCAUAUGACUGUAGGUUACUCUCCCAUGCUACUGUAGGUUACUCUCCCAAGCUACUGUAGGUUACUCUCCCAUGCUACUGUAGGUUACUCUCCCAUGCUACUGUAGGUUACUCUCCCAUGCUACUGUAGGUUACUCUCCCAAGCUACUGUAGGUUACUCUCCCAAGCUACUGUAGGUUACUCUCCCAUGCUACUGUAGGUUACUCUCCCAUGCUACUGUAGGUUACUCUCCCAUGCUACUGUAGGAUAAUAUCUGGAUUGUUUCAUAAUAACUCUUGUCUGGUGUGGGAUGUGCAGUUCCGGAGUGCAGAGAAUAACUUGUACUGAUGUGGAUUGGAGCAAACAAACCAUCUACAUAGUGGUGAUGUGUACGUUUUAGAUUAUAUUAUUACUAUUAUUUUACUAAGGUUGUAUAUGUUUUACAUUAUAUUAUUACUAUCAUUUUAUUAAGGUUGUGUUCGUUUCACAUUAUAUUAUUACUAUUAUUUUAUUAAG